CUCCUGGCGGGUGGGGGCGGGGCCCAAGGAGGCAAAACGGGGUCCGUGGCCCUUGGGGGGCAUGCCCGGGCUUGCCCAGGCCGACAACGCCGGGCAGAGUCUGGAGAAGCGGGUGUGGGUGGGGGGCGGCCGAGCGGAGAGGGAGAACCGGCGCUGCUCCGGGUCGCCCGGAAGGAUGAGUGAUUUCAGGGGGAAAUUCAAAAGUUCCCCAAAGUUGGAAACUCCCGGAGUUUUCUUUCCUUUCUUUUUCCUUCUUCUUCUUCGUUUUAUUUAUUUAUUUUUAUAUUUUAUUUAUUCAUUUUUUUUUUAUGUUCACCUUGUAAGACUUAGCUGUGGCCGAUCGGUCUCUUCCGAACCGACCUUGUUUGCUCCCCUCCUCCCCCGCACCCGCGCCGCGGGAGGCCGCGGCUGGAAAAACGUCACCCCGGGGCCAAGUCCAGAUUCCUUCGGUUAAAAAAAAAAAAAGGCACAAACACCAAACCACUGAUUACAGGUAUCACAGGAAAGUUUCGAUUUUAUUUUAAAAAAGUAAUCCAAAAUCCAGAGAAGCGAUAUCUAUGGUCACAACGUCAUUUUCGUUUCCUGGAAAUGGUGGGGCUUCACCUGUGUUAGACCAAGUGAAAAAAAAACAACCCACGAACCUUCUGAACGUGCAGGUUUGGGGAAUGGGAGACCUCGGCCUCUGGCAUCCCCACCUCCUUUUCGGAUCCCUCUGGAGUGUUGCGGUUUGCUCCGGAGGACGAGUGCACGCAGCCUUCUCUUACGCCUUCUCACACCAGCAUCCUGUUUGAUUGUGGGGUAAAGCAGACGUGAGUGGACCAGUGCACUUGGCUGUGGACUCUUACGAAUAUCUCUCAAAAUCUGUUUAUGAUUUUGCCAAUCCCAACAGUGUGGUGGUCUGUUGUCUGGCCCGUAUGCCCCCGGGCACCUCGUAUGGCAGUGGUUCUCAACCUUCCUAAUGUCCCGCCCCUUCUAAGAUAGUUCCUCAUGUUGUGGUGACCCCCAACCAUAACAUUACUUUCGUUGUGACUUCAUAACUGUAAUUUCGCUAUUGUUUAUGAAUCGUAAUGUAAAUAUUUGUGUUUUCCGGUGGUCUCAGGCUUUACAGCAGCGGUUCUAGCAGGGUCGCCUGAGACCAUCGGAAAACACAGAUAUUUACAUCACGAUUCAUUAACAGUAGCGAAAUUACGGUUAUGACGUCGCAACGAAAAUAAUGUGAUGGUUGGGGUCGCCACAACAUGAGGAACUGUAUUUAAAAGCACAGAAAGUUGAGAACCACUGAUCUAGACAGAGGAUUUGGGUUACAUACCUGUAUUAAUUAAUAAAUUCAUUGAAUUAUACACUUAAGAAAUACGCAUUUCAUUGUGGGUGUUCAUUGUACAUGUCUGUAAAUUUUACUGAGUGUGUAAACAUUUUCUAAUAAAAUGAUGAGGGGAAGAAUUGAUGAGAACAGAGCCAGUAAAAACAGGAAGACAUACCACUGAGAGCAGAGAAAGGAGCCCGCACCAGGGAAUGCGGGGCCUGGGAAAAGAAGGGCUGAGGGACGCAGGUGAGCUUACCUGUCAUCAAACAUGAGACCAGCCAGUUUGGCUCAGACCAGUCUGGC